CGAGUUUAUCAUGGAGUUUUCGCCCGUGGCCACCACACAAGCUAAGGACCUACGUGUUUUCUCAACAUCGGUACUUGUUCCUCCAAUUAGUCAGUCUUAAUUAUUAUGCGUAAUUAGUCUGCCUGGACCUGGUGCCUGGACGGCUGCUGUUCCACCAACUGCACAAACCACUGUUAUUCCGCCUGGCUUCCCAGUCUCAAGAUGACAGUCGUGCACAGUGAAUCCUCUCAGCGUCGAGCCUUCUGAAAGUCCCGAACUUUACCAAACUGCCAGGCUCACAGCUUUUACUGAAAAUCACAUGUCUGCUGGUAAAGGUCCGGACACAGCCAGGCGCGGCGCUCUUACUCUACCUUAAAGGCUUUGUCACAGAUCCAGGUCAUGGGUUUUGUUUUGCUGACGGACGAUCAGUUUCUGUUUGGUAUUUUUUUCCUCUCUGGUGAUCAGCGCUUUAGUAUUUUUUCCCAGAUUUCCCUCAGCUGACCGUGUUUGACUGGAUAUUGUUUCAUUAACAUUAAGCUUUGAAACGAAUUCUCAACUGUAACCUUACGAACUUCCUGCAGUAAAUGUUGCAAUGGGCGCGAUACCCAGGGGAAAUUAGGGGAUUCACAGAAGACCGGGGGGGUUUACCUGACAAUAAAACAAUAAAAAUACCCCACAGUGAAGCUAUGCAGCUGUUAUUACUGCAGGAAAAAACACAGAUCAACAUAACUGUCAAGAAUCACCUUAUUCUCUAAGAUCAGUGAUGUUUAUAUGGCGCCAUGCUCCUCCUGAUUAUUCUAUCCAGUCCUUUUUCAUGUAUUUCUACUCUGUUCAAACUCAUGAUCUCAUGUUUCAAGCAACACGUGAUGAUGAAGCUGCACUGGUGUCAUUUUGUGCUGCAUCGACUGCUUUAUUAGUUUCAGUUGCGAGAGAAGCUACCGAAUCAAACCAAACUGCUAAGUAAACCCAACAGAGGCUCUUCUUCCUCAGGAAGCUAAAACAGACCAGACUUUCUGAGCUGCUUUUGAACUUCUACAGAGCAACAACAGAAAGCAUCCUCUGUCUUAGUAUGAAAGUGUACAGCAGCUGCACCACGAGACAGAAAGACUUUGGCCCAGGUGGUGAGAACAGCACUGGGGAUUGUUCAAAGUCAACUUCAACAGCUGGACUCGCUGGACGGAUCCAAAAAAAGGCCACAUGUAUCGCUGCAGACCCCACCCACCCUGGAAAUGGACUCUUUAUACACCACCAGACUGAGAGACAGCUUCUUGAUCAGAGCUGUGAAAUCCAUUUC
ensembl:lncRNA